GCAUUCAUCAAUGUGACAUGCUAUAUGCAUAUAUCAGAUACUGUUUACUCUUCUUUAAUAUACUAUAUAGCUAGUAUCAAUCAAGAUUUGUGGAGUUAACCAAUUUCGGUUUUAAAGGAGGCUUGUUUGUCUAAUCUAUUGUUUAGUUUCGUUUAUUGUAUAUGUCUGAAGUGUAUUCAGCACUAUUUGUAUGUAGGUCUAUUUUCACAGAUGCUUAAAUUGAGAAUGGAAAUAGGGGAUGUUUCAAAGAGACUACCUGACAAAAGAACAUAAAACAGCCCAAGGCCACCAAUGCGUUUGUUUAUAUCAUAGAUAAGAGUUGUUUGUAUAUCUACUUUUUUUUGUUGUCCAUAUGUCUGUCUUAUUUUCACUGUUGUUUGUCGGUUCCAAUUUUUACUUUUGUUUUGUCUGUUGGACUUUUUUUUACUGCUGUUUUGUCUGUUCUUUACUUUUAAAUUUUUUUUUGUCUGUUGGUCUCAUUUCCACUGAUGUUUGUUUAUUUUAUUUUUAAUGGUUAUUGUAUGUAAUAUAUGUAUUAUUUUUACAGUUGUGUUUUUAUGUAUGGCAAAUUUUCAUUGUUGUUUGUGUACCUAAAACUACAGGGAGAUAACUGUAAAAUUAGCUAAACGUUUUAAUUACAUUGUGUUGUUAAGGGAAUAUUAAGCUUCUCAGUGAUCAAAAUAAGUGUUUGUCAAACUGCUAUUUAACCAGUGUAAAUUUUCUGAUAAAACGGUUGGUUCAAUUUUUUAGAAAUUUUCAUAUUUUUGUCAAAGGAUACUUUGUCAAAAUUAAAAGAAAAUUAAAAGAGCCAAAUUAAUUUUAGUUGAAGUGUUGGGUACCACCUUAAUGGUUGUUUUUAAGGUUGUCUCAAUUCUACUGUUCAAUUUGAAUGUUUAUUUUAAUUGUACUGUUGUUUGUAUGUGCUUUUUAAUUUUGUUUUGUCUUAUUUUUGCUAUUGGUAAUAAAUCUGUCUUUUUUAAAUUGUUUUUUUCUUGUAUACAUCUGUUUUCUUUUGGCUGUUGUUUGAAUAUGACUAAAAGAUUCUGGCAUCAAAACCCAAAACCCCUUUAAAAGACAUCUUUACUAUAUAUGUUUGUCUAGAUCAUAUUUGUAAAGUCUUUUUUUGUAUAUUCGCAGAUGUUUUUUAUUCUUUUAUUUGUCUGUCUAAACUAACAGUUGUAUGUAUGGCCGUCUAUUGAUGGGUAGUGAAGGUCAUUAAAACCUACCUCGUCAUUGUUAAAUUUUUAUUUAAGAGUAAAAAAUGACUGACACAUAAUUCUGGUUACAAAAUAUGUACACUUAGUUUAUGCAAAGACCACUGAAGAUGACUUAGAAAGGUCACAAGUAAUAUUGUCAAACAGAUACCCCUAAGCAAUGUUGUUGCAUGGGUUUUUAUUAAUAACAUGUUAAA
rnacentral:lncRNA from 1 species